UUCCUUCUGUGAUUCAGUACAUGGACUUGGCUUCCUCCUGAAAGACGCCAAACACCAAUAUGGGUGGGGGGAAAAAGAACCACUGAGCUAAAUCUCCAGCUUCAGUUUCUGUCUUUUGACUGGGGAGCAGAAACCAUUUAAACUAAGAGUUACUACGGAAAGUCUACCAUGUUCUACAAAGAUUUAAGGAGGCCAACAGCUCUGCCAACACCAUCCUGAGAGUUGCACCAGG